rnacentral:rRNA from 1 species
AGAGUUUGAUCAUGGCUCAGGACGAACGCUGGCGGCGUGCUUAACACAUGCAAGUCGAACGGAAAGGCCCUUUUCGGAGGGUGCUCGAGUGGCGAACGGGUGAGUAACACGUGGGUGAUCUGCCCUGCACUUCGGGAUAAGCUUGGGAAACUGGGUCUAAUACCGGAUAGGACCAUGGCAUGCAUGUGCUGUGGUGGAAAACGUUUUAGUGGUGUGGGAUGGGCCCGCGGCCUAUCAGCUUGUUGGUGGGGUGAUGGCCUACCAAGGCGACGACGGGUAGCCGGCCUGAGAGGGUGUCCGGCCACACUGGGACUGAGAUACGGCCCAGACUCCUACGGGAGGCAGCAGUGGGGAAUAUUGCACAAUGGGCGCAAGCCUGAUGCAGCGACGCCGCGUGGGGGAUGACGGCCUUCGGGUUGUAAACCUCUUUCACCAUCGACGAAGGCCCGUCUUGUGGUGGGUUGACGGUAGGUGGAGAAGAAGCACCGGCCAACUACGUGCCAGCAGCCGCGGUAAUACGUAGGGUGCGAGCGUUGUCCGGAAUUACUGGGCGUAAAGAGCUCGUAGGUGGUUUGUCGCGUUGUUCGUGAAAUUCCCUGGCUUAACUGGGGGCGUGCGGGCGAUACGGGCAGACUGGAGUACUGCAGGGGAGACUGGAAUUCCUGGUGUAGCGGUGGAAUGCGCAGAUAUCAGGAGGAACACCGGUGGCGAAGGCGGGUCUCUGGGCAGUAACUGACGCUGAGGAGCGAAAGCGUGGGGAGCGAACAGGAUUAGAUACCCUAGUAGUCC